rnacentral:tRNA from 1 species
GCUCUCCUCGUCUAGGGGUUAGGACAUCACCUUUUCACGGUGAGAACAGGGGUUCGAUUCCCCUGGAGAGCA